rnacentral:rRNA from 1 species
GAUGAACGCUGGCGGCGUGCCUAAUACAUGCAAGUCGAGCGAACAGACGAGGAGCUUGCUCCUCGGACGUUAGCGGCUGACGGUUGAGUACCGCGUGGUUAAUCUCCCUAUAACACUGGGAUAACUUCGGGAAACUGGCCCUAAUACCGGGUAAUAUAUUGAACCUCAUGGUUCAAUAAUGAAAGACGGUUUUGCCGACACUUAUAGAGGAAGACGUGCCGCCUGAGCUAGUUUGGAAGGUAGCGGCUUACCAAGGCAACGAUGUGUAGCCGACCUGAGAGGGUGAUCGGCCACACUGGAAGAGAGAGACGGUACAGACUCCUAAGGGGGGACGCAGUAGAGACUCUUCCGCGAUGGGCGAAAGGCGAAUAGAGCAAAGUCGAGUGAGUGCUGAUGCUCCUAGGACCCGAGAACGCUGUAAUAAGUGAAGAACAAAUGUGUAAGUAACUAUGAACGUCUUGACGGUACCUAAUCAGAAAGCUACGGCUAACUACGUG